rnacentral:rRNA from 1 species
AUUUAACUCUUUCUUCAGGCCUAACACAUGCAAGUCGAGCGGAUGAAGGGAGCUUGCUCCUGGAUUCAGCGGCGGACGGGUGAGUAAUGCCUAGGAAUCUGCCUGGUAGUGGGGGAUAACGUCCGGAAACGGGCGCUAAUACCGCAUACGUCCUGAGGGAGAAAGUGGGGGAUCUUCGGACCUCACGCUAUCAGAUGAGCCUAGGUCGGAUUAGCUAGUUGGUGGGGUAAAGGCCUACCAAGGCGACGAUCCGUAACUGGUCUGAGAGGAUGAUCAGUCACACUGGAACUGAGACACGGUCCAGACUCCUACGGGAGGCAGCAGUGGGGAAUAUUGGACAAUGGGCGAAAGCCUGAUCCAGCCAUGCCGCGUGUGUGAAGAAGGUCUUCGGAUUGUAAAGCACUUUAAGUUGGGAGGAAGGGCAGUAAGUUAAUACCUUGCUGUUUUGACGUUACCAACAGAAUAAGCACCGGCUAACUUCGUG